UCGGGAGGGGUAACCCUUCUGAGGGGAGAGCGGCGAACGGGUGAGUAACACGUGGGCAACCUGCCCCGGACACCGGGAUAACCCAGGGAAACCUGAGCUAAUACCGGAUACUCCGGCGCGAUCGCAUGGUCGUGCCGGGAAAGCUCCGACGGUCCGGGAUGGGCCCGCGGCCUAUCAGCUUGUUGGUGGGGUAACGGCCCACCAAGGCGACGACGGGUAGCUGGUCUGAGAGGACGGCCAGCCACACUGGGACUGAGACACGGCCCAGACUCCUACGGGAGGCAGCAGUGGGGGAUCUUGCGCUAAUGCGCGAAAGCGUGACGCAGCGACGCCGCGUGGGGGAUGAAGGCCUUCGGG
rnacentral:rRNA from 1 species